AUGACUCUGUUAACCAUCUUCAUCUGGACACUCUUGGGAAUCCAAGGGGCUUUUGGAGACGUCAUUCUCACUCAGUCUGGGUCUAAGUCGGUUCAGCUCGGUCAGACAGUCACCACUGACUGCAAAUCCAGCUCUGAAGUUUUCAGAAAUCCACAAGGUUCUGUAUCUGAAGAUUACUACAUCUUCUGGUAUCUUCAGAAAGCUGGAGAAGCUCCUAAACUCCUGAUAUAUUUCACUACAAUGAGACCUUCUGGAGUUUCCUCUAAAUUCUCGGGUGGAGGCAGUUAUUCAUCUGGAGGGAAUGGUCUGGACUUCUCUCUGACCAUCAGUGGAGUCCAUGCUGAAGAUGCUGGAGAUUAUUACUGUUUAAGUACACAUGAGAUCAGUGGUAGCUAUGUGUUCACACAGUGA